AGAAGCAGAAGGUAUUAUUGCCAUAGGUCAAAGUCUUCUUAGGUUUUCAGCUUUUAUACAGAGGUGGGCAUCAGUCAAAAUCCUAGGUCUGCAUAAUCCAAAACUGAGAUUUGAGGUUUCACAGACUCAUGGUGCAUGUAAUCAUUUUCUUAUACUGUCUUGCAGAAAGACUUGUUAGAGAGUAAGGUUUUCAUUUUCUUCCAGUACGGCUCCCCAAAAGACAUUUAGCAGUGUGUAAAUUAGCUGGUGUAGGUAGCCUGUCAGCUCCACCAACCACUGCAUUCACCUCAAGGGCUAGAAAAUCCCUGCUGAAGAUCUGCCACACCCUAUUGUGCUGGAGAUGCAUACAUAUAGAGAUACACUGAAUGCAAUAAGUUCUGUUUUCCAUGUGUUAAUAACGCUAGAAAUGCUUACAAGGAUGCAUAAUAAUGAAUGUAAGUAGAAAAGAGUGGGAAGCACAUGUUCAUGGGGUGGGUGGACAUAGGAAAGAAGAUGCUUUUACCUAUUAAGUGCAAGAUAUAUGGGAAGUCUGCACAAAUCUUCCUGGCUUUCUGUCACAUAAAGCUAAAGCCUUCCUGUUACUCCAGUAUUGUACAUCUUUCUGAAAAUCAGCCAAGGAGAUUGAGCGGGUCCUCAGCUUUAAAGAGAAAGGCACUUGCUCUGUCCUCCCCCUGAGGAGGCUGGGAGAAAGGGAGCAGGAGCCAGUGCCAAGGCAACACGGGAACCGCACCCCAGUGGAGCACAGUGCCUGCCAGCAGCCCCUGCUCAGCUCAGGCUGAGCGACCGCAGAGACAAGUCUCUACAAAGACAUCUUCACUUACAGUGGAGUUACAGCAGUGUCAGCAGUUACUUCGCCAGCUCUGUUUAAAGAGGCUGGACCCCCUGCUAAAACCAGUCUGAUGAUGUAACCUUGGGUCCAAUGCCUCAAAAAUAUUUGCUUAGAUGUCUAAUCCAUAGUUAGAUGCCUACAACCUUUGAGGAGUUCCAUCUUCAGCCAAGACAAUUUGAUAAAGAAACUCUACAUUGUUGUGCCAAUCAUUUAAUACUUAUUUUUUCAUGGAUCUCAGUGCCUUACAGUUAUCUGCACAAGAUUCCCGAAAGAUAGGAAACUAUUAUCUCUGCUCAGAAACGUGGUACUAGAACAUAUGGUAGGUCAGGUCCAUUGUCUAAAUUCACACAGGAAACCUGUCUGAGCCUGGGUUUAGAGCCAGGUCUCCAGAGUCUCAGCCCACUGCACUAGAUGAUAG
rnacentral:lncRNA from 1 species